rnacentral:lncRNA from 1 species
UACAGUUCUGUCUGAAAGCCAGUUUCCUAGCCUAUGUAUGAGGGAUGUGUUCCUUACCCUUCUGCCUAGGGGAAAGUCCCUGGACCAUGGGAAUAGAGUGCAGCAUACACACAUGCAUAGACUUCCCCUGCAAAUCACUGUUAGUUCCCUAAAAAGCAAUACCCCUGGGGCCAGCCAAGUAGGAAGCAGUGUUCCUCCUGCACACCAAUCACACAAGGCUCAUUCUCAGUGCCACUGC